UUAAGUUAUUAAGGGCGCACGGUGGAUGCCUUGGCACUAGAAGCCGAUGAAGGACGUUACUAACGACGAUAUGCUUUGGGGAGCUGUAAGUAAGCUUUGAUCCAGAGAUUUCCGAAUGGGGAAACCCAGCAUGAGUUAUGUCAUGUUAUCGAUAUGUGAAUACAUAGCAUAUCAGAAGGCACACCCGGAGAACUGAAACAUCUUAGUACCCGGAGGAAGAGAAAGAAAAUUCGAUUCCCUUAGUAGCGGCGAGCGAAACGGGAAGAGCCCAAACCAACAAGCUUGCUUGUUGGGGUUGUAGGACACUCUAUACGGAGUUACAAAGGACGACAUUAGACGAAUCAUCUGGAAAGAUGAAUCAAAGAAGGUAAUAAUCCUGUAGUCGAAAAUGUUGUCUCUCUUGAGUGGAUCCUGAGUACGACGGAGCACGUGAAAUUCCGUCGGAAUCUGGGAGGACCAUCUCCUAAGGCUAAAUACUCUCUAGUGACCGAUAGUGAACCAGUACCGUGAGGGAAAGGUGAAAAGCACCCCGGAAGGGGAGUGAAAUAGAACCUGAAACCGUGUGCUUACAAGUAGUCAGAGCCCGUUAAUGGGUGAUGGCGUGCCUUUUGUAGAAUGAACCGGCGAGUUACGAUUUGAUGCAAGGUUAAGCAGUAAAUGUGGAGCCGUAGCGAAAGCGAGUCUGAAUAGGGCGUUUAGUAUUUGGUCGUAGACCCGAAACCAGGUGAUCUACCCUUGGUCAGGUUGAAGUUCAGGUAACACUGAAUGGAGGACCGAACCGACUUACGUUGAAAAGUGAGCGGAUGAACUGAGGGUAGCGGAGAAAUUCCAAUCGAACCUGGAGAUAGCUGGUUCUCUCCGAAAUAGCUUUAGGGCUAGCCUCAAGUGAUGAUUAUUGGAGGUAGAGCACUGUUUGGACGAGGGGCCCCUCUCGGGUUACCGAAUUCAGACAAACUCCGAAUGCCAAUUAAUUUAACUUGGGAGUCAGAACAUGGGUGAUAAGGUCCGUGUUCGAAAGGGAAACAGCCCAGACCACCAGCUAAGGUCCCAAAAUAUAUGUUAAGUGGAAAAGGAUGUGGCGUUGCCCAGACAACUAGGAUGUUGGCUUAGAAGCAGCCAUCAUUUAAAGAGUGCGUAAUAGCUCACUAGUCGAGUGACACUGCGCCGAAAAUGUACCGGGGCUAAACAUAUUACCGAAGCUGUGGAUUGUCCUUUGGACAAUGGUAGGAGAGCGUUCUAAGGGCGUUGAAGCAUGAUCGUAAGGACAUGUGGAGCGCUUAGAAGUGAGAAUGCCGGUGUGAGUAGCGAAAGACGGGUGAGAAUCCCGUCCACCGAUUGACUAAGGUUUCCAGAGGAAGGCUCGUCCGCUCUGGGUUAGUCGGGUCCUAAGCUGAGGCCGACAGGCGUAGGCGAUGGAUAACAGGUUGAUAUUCCUGUACCACCUAUAAUCGUUUUAAUCGAUGGGGGGGACGCAGUAGGAUAGGCGAAGCGUGCGAUUGGAUUGCACGUCUAAGCAGUAAGGCUGAGUAUUAGGCAAAUCCGGUACUCAUUAAGGCUGAGCUGUGAUGGGGAGAAGACAUUGUGUCUUCGAGUCGUUGAUUUCACACUGCCGAGAAAAGCCUCUAGAUAGAAAAUAGGUGCCCGUACCGCAAACCGACACAGGUAGUCAAGAUGAGAAUUCUAAGGUGAGCGAGCGAACUCUCGUUAAGGAACUCGGCAAAAUGACCCCGUAACUUCGGGAGAAGGGGUGCUCUUUAGGGUUAACGCCCAGAAGAGCCGCAGUGAAUAGGCCCAAGCGACUGUUUAUCAAAAACACAGGUCUCUGCUAAACCGUAAGGUGAUGUAUAGGGGCUGACGCCUGCCCGGUGCUGGAAGGUUAAGAGGAGUGGUUAGCUUCUGCGAAGCUACGAAUCGAAGCCCCAGUAAACGGCGGCCGUAACUAUAACGGUCCUAAGGUAGCGAAAUUCCUUGUCGGGUAAGUUCCGACCCGCACGAAAGGCGUAACGAUUUGGGCACUGUCUCAACGAGAGACUCGGUGAAAUCAUAGUACCUGUGAAGAUGCAGGUUACCCGCGACAGGACGGAAAGACCCCGUGGAGCUUUACUGUAGCCUGAUAUUGAAAUUCGGCACAGCUUGUACAGGAUAGGUAGGAGCCUUUGAAACGUGAGCGCUAGCUUACGUGGAGGCGCUGGUGGGAUACUACCCUAGCUGUGUUGGCUUUCUAACCCGCACCACUUAUCGUGGUGGGAGACAGUGUCAGGCGGGCAGUUUGACUGGGGCGGUCGCCUCCUAAAAGGUAACGGAGGCGCUCAAAGGUUCCCUCAGAAUGGUUGGAAAUCAUUCAUAGAGUGUAAAGGCAUAAGGGAGCUUGACUGCGAGACCUACAAGUCGAGCAGGGUCGAAAGACGGACUUAGUGAUCCGGUGGUUCCGCAUGGAAGGGCCAUCGCUCAACGGAUAAAAGCUACGCCGGGGAUAACAGGCUUAUCUCCCCCAAGAGUUCACAUCGACGGGGAGGUUUGGCACCUCGAUGUCGGCUCAUCGCAUCCUGGGGCUGUAGUCGGUCCCAAGGGUUGGGCUGUUCGCCCAUUAAAGCGGUACGCGAGCUGGGUUCAGAACGUCGUGAGACAGUUCGGUCCCUAUCCGUCGUGGGCGUAGGAAAUUUGAGAGGAGCUGUCCUUAGUACGAGAGGACCGGGAUGGACAUACCUCUGGUGUACCAGUUGUCGUGCCAACGGCAUAGCUGGGUAGCUAUGUGUGGACGGGAUAAGUGCUGAAAGCAUCUAAGCAUGAAGCCCCCCUCAAGAUGAGAUUUCCCAACUUCGGUUAUAAGAUCCCUCAAAGAUGAUGAGGUUAAUAGGUUCGAGGUGGAAGCAUGGUGACAUGUGGAGCUGACGAAUACUAAUCGAUCGAAGACUUAAUCAA
rnacentral:rRNA from 1 species